UUCCUCCUUCUCCUCCUUCUCCUCCGUUCUUCUUCUUCUACGAGUGUUUGAGAGCAAACUAGAGAUUUGGAUUGAGAUAAUCAAUCCAUGAUGAAGAUUAUAUGCAGUAUGAGUUGUUGCUGGCGUUGAUAAGAUUGAGAUUUGUACAGAUCUUGAAUUAGGGUUUUGAGAUGAAUUUUGGAGCCGUAUGAAAUUGAUAGGUUAAAUCGAAGUAUAAAUGGAUGUAGGAUGAAGGGUUAUUGCUGAAUUUAACUUGUAGUAUUGCUUUGAAGAAGAAUUGAGAUGUUAAUGAAACUGUGAAGAAGUUAGGGUUUCUUUAAUUCAGUGAAGAUAUGAUUGGAGGUGAUUAAGAGGAAAUUAGAGGAUGGGUAUUGAAGAACGCGAUGUAAAGAAGAUGGUUAUGGUUUUAAUUUGGGUAUUUGGUUACAAGGAGGAAGAUUAAGAAAUCAGUGAAUUAGGGUUCUUGAUAGAGCAUAUAUUUAGGAUUCAUGGGUUUGUUUAUGGACGAAGGAGAUGGAGUUGAUGGAGAGGAAUUAAAAGAGGAAGAUCCCUGAUGCAGAUUAAGGUAGAGAAGAAUUUGACCCUAAAUUGAUGGGGAGAGAAACCAUUUCAAGAAAAAAGAAGGGGUUGGUUUCAAAUUGGUUGAGAGAAGCUGUUUUGAGAUGCAUGUGUAUGGAACUGGAGGAGGAAUUAUUACACUAAACUAAUGAUUAAGACAGUGAAGAGCUAGAGAUGGUGGAUAUGAAAUUGAAUUACAGUUGUAUCUUGUUGAACUGGUGGUGCUGAAAUGGUUAAGAUGGCAUGUUGAAUCAAGUCAAGUAAGAAAGGGGAAUUGAUCUCAAUUUGCUGGAAUGAAUCUAUAUUGAGGUAAAUAAUGUUCUUAUCAGUAGAAUUGGUUCAUGUUCAUUAUUGAGAUUAUGUGAAUGCUUAUGAAGUUAAGUUACAGAGUUAUUGGGUUCGGUUUGCUGUUUUUCUUAAUUGUUGAUGAAUCUAAGACCUGAGAUGGAUAUGAAUUGGAGAUGCUGAAACUAAUGUAACUGGUGGAGGUAUUUGCAGGAUGUAAUGAAUUAGAAUGAUUACAGGGUUGGUAAGAAUUUAUAAAAGAUGGAAUUGAGUUUAGUUUGUAUGGUUGAAAUGCAACUGCUGUUGUAGAAUAAGUUUGUAUAUGUGAUUGAUGUGAAGUUUUAUUGAAUUGAAUGUAUGUGUGCUGGAAAUCGGAAGGCUAUGCAUUACAGUUAAUGAGAUGGCUGCAGUUUGUAGAAUUUUAUUGUACAUAUGGAUUUUGAGUUACAAAUAUUGUAAUGCUGAGUUAGUGGUAUGCAAUGACAGUGUGGUUGCAGGGAGUUGUGGUAGUGUCGCAGAUUGUGUAGGCAGGAUUGAAAUGAGUUAGAAUGGAUGAGAUUCAGUGAAGAUAUGAAUGAACUGAGGUUAGUUUGUAUGGAACAAAUGGUGGUGCCGAUGUUGCUUAACUGAUUGUACUGGGUUGAGCUUAAUCAGAUUAGUAUAUUGAGAUGGUAGUGUGUUUGUGUUUAUGAUAUGGGUUUGAAUUGAUCUGAGGUAGUAAUUUGGUAUUGAUGUACGUGACAGGGAAGAGUUAAGUUGAAUGAUGAAGUGUGUAAGUUGAGGAAAUGAAAGAUAUGUGGAGUUCAGGUCCAAGGGAUAGUGGUCCAGUUAUUAGUUGUGUUGAGCUGCAACUGUAGUUAUCAUAUGGAGGGUAGAUUAGAAGAUGAAUCUGAAAUAGCUUGUGCUGAAUUGAAUCUCUCCAGUGGGAGCUUGUAACUGCAAUUGCAGGUAAACUGUAUUGGUCUUUGUAAUUGGAUUUGAUGUUUGUUUUGAAUGAAAGGAUCUGUAAUAGAAGUUUAGCUUA